rnacentral:piRNA from 1 species
AGGAAUUUUUCACAUAAAUCCCUAGGG